UCAUAAUAACUUAACGAAUCGCAUGGCCUUGUAGCCGGCGAUGGUUCAUUCAAAUUUCUGCCCUAUCAACUUUCGAUGGUAGGAUAGUGGCCUACCAUGGUGGCAACGGGUAACGGGGAAUUAGGGUUCGAUUCCGGAGAGGGAGCCUGAGAAACGGCUACCACAUCCAAGGAAGGCAGCAGGCGCGCAAAUUACCCAAUCCCGAUACGGGGAGGUAGUGACAAUAAAUACUGAUACGGGGCUCUUUCGGGUCUCGUAAUUGGAAUGAGAACAAUUUAAAUCCCUUAACGAGGAACAAUUGGAGGGCAAGUCUGGUGCCAGCAGCCGCGGUAAUUCCAGCUCCAAUAGCGUAUAUUAAAGUUGUUGCAGUUAAAAAGCUCGUAGUUGAACCUUGGGUCUGGCUGGCCGGUCCGCCUCACCGCGAGUACUGGUCCGGCUGGACCUUUCCUUCUGGGGAAGCCUCAUGGCCUUCACUGGCUGUGGGGGGAACCAGGACUU
rnacentral:rRNA from 1 species